rnacentral:rRNA from 1 species
UAUUCCCUUGAAAUUCCUUAUAGACUAUGAGGUUGAUAGGCUGGAUGUGUAAGCACAGUAAUGUGUUGAGCUGACCAGUACUAAUAAAUUGAAAGGUUUAAAAG